UUAUCUUCAUCCUCCCAGGCUCGUCAGAUCUCAAUCUGGUUCAUCUCCCAAAAGACGCCCCAGCCCCGAGAGGAGCCGCCGCCGCCAUCGGGGAACGAGAGGAGCCGCCGCCUGCAGGUGCGGAGGAGCGGAGCUGGCCGGGUUUGCGGGGGAAGCCGGCGCGGGCGAAGCCGGCAGGCCGGGUUGCGGGGAAACCGGCAAGCCGGGCAGCGGGAGCCGGCGGCCGGGAAGCGGCAGAAGCCGGCCUGCAUGGGGUGGGAGCCGGUCGAGGCACGAGAGCCGCGAGGAGGCCGGCGCGAGGCUGGGGAGCCCGCAGCCGGAGCGGGGGCGCCCAGGCGGCACAACGAGGUGGGACCGCGGGAGCAGCGCGGCACCGAGCGGAGCAGGCGGUGACGCAGCACCGCGGGGGCGCGCACGCGGAGGUGCAGGUGCCCCCGCGCGCGGCGGAGCAGCGAGGGGCCGACGACCACCACAGGUGCGCCUCCCUCUCCCUCGAGACUCCAGCUCCCCAGCGGCCAUCCCUCCUUUCCCCCAAGUCCACGACCACUGCUGCUUCGAGGCCGAGGAUACCAUCGGGUAGUAGCUAGCUCAGGUCGGGGUCACAGUCCAGCAAUGCAAGGAGCCAAGGAGGGUGGUCCAGCCGAGAGAAGGAUGUUGCGAGAGGGGAUGAAGCGGCAGUUGCGUGGCCGUGUUGAACCGAGCUGGUUGCCAGAGCGGAUGGAGUGGUGGCUGCACGGAUUCCUUAUUGGAGGUGCCGUACCUUCAUAUCCUCUGCUGCAGCAGAUGCAGAUGGAGCACACCGUGGGAUAUCCCCAUCCACCACGGUCACUGCCGUCAAGGGCUUCUUCAUGGAUCUGGGACGCCAUGGACCUGCAGCUCCUCAAGGUUCUUGUACCCCAACCUCUCGGACCCCUUGAACGGGGAGGCGGCUUCGCUGAUGACGCGCGACAAGAAGGCAUACAACCAGAAAGUCCAAGAAUCUGAUGCGUGACGAUCAGAUGGUCAAAAAAGUGACAUUGUGUGACGAUCGGAUGGUUCUUCAAGCUCCCAGCAUGACGUACUCUCCAUCUCUUGUCUCUUUCGCAUGGCGGGGCAGAGGGAUUGGUCGAGGACCGCAGCAUCGGCGACCCAGGUACAAGCACGUGGCGGCGUGGCGGCAACUGGGAUGCACAUGAGGCUACUGUUCUUCUACCGGUUCACAGCGUCCAUGUGACACCGCCGAGCCCUUCAUUUGCGUCCUCCUGGGAGACCACCAUGCAGCACCAAGGUUAAAAAAAGCCCCCUGUUGUUGUCUCCCUUUCAGUUGAAAUAUAUCCUUUUACAUGCGCAGGUCAUAAGUUUGUGAUCUGCAAGGUUUAUAUGAAAAAGGAAUUCCAAUUAUGAUAAGUUGUAGCUUUGAUACCAACUAUUAGACUAUGUGUGCUCCCUGAUUUUCCCGUCUGAUUUUCCAGUGACUGCUCUCUGAUGUAUUUCUAUUUCCAUAUGACAGAGUAAUUAGCAUUUCUGUUUUGAUAUCUCCCUCCUUAACUGAGUUUGUGAGUGAUUUCAGCUCCAUGAAGAAACCUCAAGUUUGAUAUUGCUUACUUAUUUAACAAAUACCAAAGCAUGUCCAUAUCUUCAGACGGAAGCUAUAUACUCUAAUUGCGGAGAUUUUCUUUCUUUGUUAAUCUCUUGAAUAAGUUGGACCAGCUGUAUAUCUCUUUUUACACCACGAUUUGUUUUUCAUGUUGGAGUAGAUAUUGGCCCUCUGAUAAUACUAAUAUUGGUCCAUUGAAGGUACUAAUUUCAGAAAGAUCAUAUGGGUGCAUACCAGUAUCAACUAUUAAGGGAGCAAAGUAAUUACUUGUCGUUCCUUAUUGUUGUGAAAGUUCAUAUUUAUUUGCUAUAUAGAUGCUCUUCAUAGACUAACUGUGGUUUAAAAUUCAAAAUCCUUUAUAUCUCUUUGUUAUUAUUUGGUUCAGUACCUGCUACGUUCCUAUGGCUGGCUGCCCUUAAGUAGUUAAAAAUAACGAUGGCUCUUCGACAUUAUUGAUUGUCUGAUGUCUUUGCAGGAGAGAAUAUAGAUGAUAGGAGAAUGGGGGAAGAUAUAAAUGCCUUGAGUGAAUAAAUAAAUGGACGAUUCAUGGGGCUUCACUAAUGGAUAGCAUCACACUGUCACCUGAAAUUGCUUUAGUGUAUACACCCAGGGCGCCUACAUGCUCAUGUUAGAGUUAAUGGAGGAUGAAGUGUGACCGUACUAUCUCCUUGUGUCUACAACGACGUGUGCCAGUACUGUCUCCUUGACCGGCUCCUUAGGCUCUCCCUGUGCGGUAGCGGCUCAAUCUCCGCGGUGCCGUCGAGGAGGAGGGGCUGGGGCAACCGUGUCUGGUGCGCUCUCGCUACUCAUCGACCUUGCUGUUACUACCUCAUCCUUGAAGCCAUGGGUGGCCUCUAAUUUUCCCUUUGGAGUGUUGAAUGCAAACUGCAAAAGUAGAGCUGGUUGGCUAGCUGUUGAUUUGAUCAGGGGAUAGCAUAUGAAGUGAGUAAACAGAAAGAAAGUGAGCAUCCAAGCAGGAACUGCAAAUGCUCUAUUUUAGUCAAAGCAUGGGAAUGUGCACAAGGGAAAGGCAUGUAUAAGUAGCACAAUCGUGGUGCGCGUGUGAAGUCUAGAAGCGGAUGGGACAAAGUUGGGGAAGUUGUCUUAGCUUGUCUAAAGGUUGAUGUCCCGGGCAAGACGCAGUACCUCAUGUUUGUCUCUUUUUGGGACAUGCUGCAACACAUGGGCAAGUUGGAGAUUGGAGAAGUCGAUUGGGGGCUUGAGGCAUGAGAGGAUACCAUGAGAAGGGCAGUCAGGAGGAAGCCUAGAGUCUACAUUCAGCACCAAAGCCUGCACCAUAGCAGAGAACAAUGAUGAAUGCAAGGUAUAUUAUCUAGAAAAUAUAUCGCUUCAACCUAAUGAUCCAUGAUGGUGUCAGCUCGAUUUGAUUCUGAAGGCUUCCUUUGCUCAAUAUAGGGAUUGUGACAUGUUUGGGUGGUCUGCAAUGUGGACUUGUACAUUUCAAGGAAUGCAAGGUAUAUUAUCUAGAAAUAGAUCGCUUCAACCUGAUGUCCAUGAUGGUGUCAUGCUCGAUUUGAUUCUGGAGGCUUUCUUUGCUCAAUAUAGGGAUUGUGACAUGUUUGGGUGGUCUGCAAUGUGGACUUGUACAUUUCACGGUAUAUAAUACUGAUGAAUGUUACACUAAUACGUUACAUAGGCAAUGGUACUGCGCCUUUCUCACCCAUAUCUCUCUAUACAUAUUUCUCCACUUAUUAGUGACCCCUAUAACCAAUAGAACCUGUAUGAUCUGUAUAGACUAGCUAGAGCACAACAUAUUUUCGUAAACAGGGGAGAGUAGAGAUUCAUAUUUAAAAGAAAUUUUGCAAGUUUUUGUGGCAUUAUAUCCAAAAUUUUUAGUCAUUAUAUUCCAGAUUUCUUUUGGCAUGUGUUGUUGUGACGUGCAGCGAAUAGGCGUAGGGGAAAGAGCAACAUGGCCAAGCAAGUGUUGAGUAAAGAACCAUGAGAAUAAACUGAGUUUUUGAUUUUCUUUUUUGGGUGCACUUUUAAUGUUGCAUGGACUGAGCAUACACUGAUUUUUUUUACUUCUUCCAUCGUGUAGCUACAGGACCACAAACUAAGUCCCCCUGUCCUACCCUCUCAUCCGCGCAGUUGUCGCCGACUACGCGUGUGCCUCCCGUUGUCACCACUGACUCGCUUUACUGUAAGAGUGUUCAUUCCGUAAUCGCCGUGAAAGAUAUCUAACCUCUAAUAUGAGGUUGUAAGAUUACUUUGGUUAAACUUUCUAUUUACCCUCUUUAGGACAAUUGUAUAUGCCAUUUGGUUAUUCAUGUACACCAGUAUGACUUACGGCAUUUCUGGAUUGUUAACAGCCCUGAUCUGAUUGUUUGAUGUACUUAUAUCAUUUUCUUUUCAGUCACCUCUUCAUCCGAGCAGGGGUGGCGAGGGAACAUAAAUGGUCGUGGUGAAAGUCGAUUUAGUGCAUCAAGGAUUGGAGGUCGUGAGAUUUGCAAGAGGUGAUGAAGCACAAUUUGUUAUCGUGCCUUAUAACAUAUAUAGCAGUCGAUGAUGAGUGCAAGCAUAAGAUGGUUGACAAUCUGUAGAGCAUGAGACAUACCUUUGCAGUCUGUAAGAGGAUCAAAUAACAUGUUUUGUUGACAAGGAUUAUUUUGGAAUUUCUAUAUAACAUGCAUGCACAAUAUGUUAAUGAAGCUACAUGAAUGGUCGAUGCUCUGUUCAA